GAUGUUGUCGGGAAGCCUAUUCACUGAAUAUUCCGCCAUCAGAGAUUGCAUUGUAUUGCUGACAGGUGUUUCAAAAUAUCUGGGAACUUUUCCGGACGCCUGUUGCACAAAUCC